rnacentral:rRNA from 1 species
GACGAACGCUGGCGGCGUGCUUAACACAUGCAAGUCGAACGGAAAGGCCCUGCUUUUGUGGGGUGCUCGAGUGGCGAACGGGUGAGUAACACGUGAGUAACCUGCCCUUGACUUUGGGAUAACUUCAGGAAACUGGGGCUAAUACCGGAUAGGAGCUCCUGCUGCAUGGUGGGGGUUGGAAAGUUUCGGCGGUUGGGGAUGGACUCGCGGCUUAUCAGCUUGUUGGUGGGGUAGUGGCUUACCAAGGCUUUGACGGGUAGCCGGCCUGAGAGGGUGACCGGCCACAUUGGGACUGGGAUACGGCCCAGACUCCUACGGGAGGCAACAGUGGGGAAUAUUGCACAAUGGGCGGGAGCCUGAUGCGGCAACGCCGCGUGCGGGAAGACGGCCUUCGGGUUGUGAACCGCUUUCGCCUGUGACGAAGCGUGAGUGACGGUAAUGGGUAAAGAAGCACCGGCUAACUACGUG